rnacentral:pre_miRNA from 1 species
UAGUAUAAACCAGAGUGGAAUGAAGAUAUGGUUAUCAGUGAGGCAGUGGUAUGACAACAAAGUCUGAAUGUUUCUGGAAGCCAUGUUGAUUAAGAAAUUUCGGUUUAAGAGA